rnacentral:rRNA from 1 species
CACGUAGGGGGCGAGCGUUGUCCGGAAUCAUUGGGCGUAAAGAGCUCGUAGGCGGCUCGGUAAGUCGGGUGUGAAACCCCCAGGCUCAACCUGGGGACGCCAUCCGAUACUGCUGUGGCUAGAGUCCAGUAGGGGAGCACGGAAUUCCUGGUGUAGCGGUGAAAUGCGCAGAUAUCAGGAGGAACACCGGUGGCGAAGGCGGUGCUCUGGGCCGAAACUGACGCUGAGGAGCGAAAGCGUGGGUAGCAAACAGG